rnacentral:lncRNA from 1 species
CCAACCUGUAAAGGGGCUCCUCUGUUAGAAUCAGUUGCUGCUGGGUUUACUGGGCUUUGCAGAUAACUUUUCUCUGUGGUCUUUGUUGAUUUUAUGUUAGACCUGGUAACACGCUUUUAUCUUAUCUGGCUUUUUCUCUUCUUUGCUCUCUGCGUUGUUUGCUAUUCCAGAAUAAAUAUGCAGACAGCCUGCCCCUGGAGGCCAGUGCACUGUGUUCCUCCCAGAGAGCAUGCAAAUAUUUGCACCACACCAGGCUCUGAGCCACGAGACGUGAGCAGCCACACAAGGAGUCAAGAGGGCAGAGGAGAAGCAAAAACAAACAGCAAGUGA